CUCAGGACGAACGCUGGCGGCGUGCCUAAUACAUGCAAGUCUAACGCUUCUUUCCUCCCGAGUGCUUGCACUCAAUUGGAAAGAGGAGUGGCGGACGGGUGAGUAACACGUGGGUAACCUACCCAUCAGAGGGGGAUAACACUUGGAAACAGGUGCUAAUACCGCAUAACAGUUUAUGCCGCAUGGCAUAAGAGUGAAAGGCGCUUUCGGGUGUCGCUGAUGGAUGGACCCGCGGUGCAUUAGCUAGUUGGUGAGGUAACGGCUCACCAAGGCCACGAUGCAUAGCCGACCUGAGAGGGUGAUCGGCCACACUGGGACUGAGACACGGCCCAGACUCCUACGGGAGGCAGCAGUAGGGAAUCUUCGGCAAUGGACGAAAGUCUGACCGAGCAACGCCGCGUGAGUGAAGAAGGUUUUCGGAUCGUAAAACUCUGUUGUUAGAGAAGAACAAGGACGUUAGUAACUGAACGUCCCCUGACGGUAUCUAACCAGAAAGCCACGGCUAACUACGUGCCAGCAGCCGCGGUAAUACGUAGGUGGCAAGCGUUGUCCGGAUUUAUUGGGCGUAAAGCGAGCGCAGGCGGUUUCUUAAGUCUGAUGUGAAAGCCCCCGGCUCAACCGGGGAGGGUCAUUGGAAACUGGGAGACUUGAGUGCAGAAGAGGAGAGUGGAAUUCCAUGUGUAGCGGUGAAAUGCGUAGAUAUAUGGAGGAACACCAGUGGCGAAGGCGGCUCUCUGGUCUGUAACUGACGCUGAGGCUCGAAAGC
rnacentral:rRNA from 1 species